UUCUUCUUCAGUUACAUGUGUUUUACAAA
rnacentral:piRNA from 1 species